rnacentral:rRNA from 1 species
UGGGCUAGAAUGCAAGGAGACCGAUCCUGAAAGGGGUCUUCCCCGUAAGGGGCUGCUUGUAAGGUGCUGCAUGGCUGUCGUCAGCUCGUGUCGUGAGAUGUUGGGUUAAGUCCCGCAACGAGCGCAACCCCCAUCAUUAGUUGCCAUCGGGUAAAGCCGGGGACUCUAGUGAAACUGCCCGCGUAAGCGGUGAGGAAGGAGGGGACGACGUCAAGUCAUCACGGCCUUUAUGUCCAGGGCUACACACGUGCUACAAUGGUAGGUACAAUGGGUCGCAACACGGCGACGUGAAGCUAAUCUCAAAAAACCUAUCUCAGUCCAGAUUGGAGUCUGCAACCCGACUCCAUGAAGCUGGAAUCGCUAGUAAUCGGGUAUCAGCUAUGAUCCGGUGAAUACGUUCCCGGACC